rnacentral:lncRNA from 1 species
AUGCUGGCCACUCUCUGCUCCCAGCUCAGGUCUGUCCACGGAGAAGGCAUUCCUCCUGCUGAAUGUGGUGUCCUCCAUGAUGCAGCCAACCUGUGCUCGGUUGAAGAGAUCAUCCUGAGCUCCAAGAUCAAGGAGUGUGCAAGCCAUAUGAUUCAGUCAGAGGGCGAAUCUUCUGCUGCAGCUGCAGGCUUGGUGGGCAUCGCAAAGGAGGCUAGGAAACUAUCUUACUUGUUGAGUGAGGAUGACCCUGACAUGUGCCUGAAGUAUGAUAUGUGCGAUUAUAUCCGGCAAUAUGCAGCAGAAGUUUUAACAAAGCUUGAGAAAGAAUUUUCUUGCAAUACAGCUGGACAUGCUGCUGAAAAUGGCAUUACUGCUAGUGACAAAUCAGAGAAGGCUAUAGGGGUCAGUACUGUUGGAGAUCUGAAUUGUGAACAAGCUGAUUCGAUUGGCAAGAAUGAACACGAUCUUAAGGACAGGAACGUGAAGUUGAAUUCGAACAUAAAGAAGAUGAAGAAGGCGCAGAAGAAGAGGUUGAAGAGGGCGGAGAAGAGGAGGCUGAGGAGGGAGAAGAAGAGGAAAUUGGAGGAUCAGACCAGGGUCGGUCCUAUGAUUUUGAGGGCCCUAGGCGAACUCAUCGCGAUGGGCUCUAUAAGCUAUAUAUAAAAUUUUAUGU